AAUACUGAGAGAACUCUGAACUCCAUCUGGUGAAAAAAAUGAAGCAGUAAAAAUAAUCUCCUGGAUUGGAAUCCAGGAUUGGAAGCUCCAAGACAAUGGAUGAAUUUCCUUCUUUAGCAACCUGGAUCAUUCCUGGGGCAAGAGUGGAAAAUCCAAGAGAAACCAAAAUGGCACUGGAAACCUCAUCACCAGCUUCUAUGUUUUACAAUAAAUGGUAGCAAUACAA